UACGGAGGGUGCAAGCGUUGUCCGGAAUUAUUGGGCGUAAAGCGCGCGCAGGCGGUCCUUUAAGUCUGAUGUGAAAGCCCACGGCUCAACCGUGGAGGGUCAUUGGAAACUGGGGGACUUGAGUACAGAAGAGAAGAGUGGAAUUCCACGUGUAGCGGUGAAAUGCGUAGAGAUGUGGAGGAACACCAGUGGCGAAGGCGACUCUUUGGUCUGUAACUGACGCUGAGGCGCGAAAGCGUGGGGAGCGAACAGG
rnacentral:rRNA from 1 species